GACAGAGGUGCCAAGCGUUAGGCGGAAUCACUGGGCUUAAAGCGUGUGUAGGUGGCUCGUUUAGUACCUUGUGAAAUCCCACGGCUCAACCGUGGAACUGCUCGGUAUACUGGCGGGCUUGAGCCAUCUAGGGGCUACCGGAACAAAUGGUGGAGCGGUGAAAUGCGUAGAUAUCAUCUGGAACGCCAAUGGUGCAGACAGGCUGCUGGGGAUGUACUGACGCUGAGGCACGAAAGCCAGGGGAGCGAACGGG
rnacentral:rRNA from 1 species